GAUGAAGAACGCAGCGAAAUGCGAUAAGUAAUGUGAAUUGCAGAAUUCAGUGAAUCAUCGAAUCUUUGAACGCACAUUGCGCCCUCCAGCAUUCUGGCGGGCAUGCCUGUUCGAGCGUCAUUUCAACCCUCGAGCCCCCCCGGGGGCCUCGGUGUUGGGGGACGGCACACCAGCCGCCCCCGAAAUGCAGUGGCGACCCCGCCGCAGCCUCCCCUGCGUAGUAGCACACACCUCGCACCGGAGCGCGGAGGCGGUCACGCCGUAAAACGCCCAACUUUCUUAGAGUUGACCUCGGAUCAGGUAGGAAUACCCGCUGAACUUAAGCAUAUCAAUAAGCGGAGGA
rnacentral:misc_RNA from 1 species